rnacentral:rRNA from 1 species
GAUGAACGCUGGCGGCGUGCCUAAUACAUGCAAGUCGAGCGAACUGACGAGAAGCUUUCUUCUCUUAUAUUAGCGGCGGACGGGUGAGUAACACGUGGAUAACCUACCUAUAAGACUGGGAUAACUUCGGGAAACCGGAGCUAAUACCGGAUAAUAUUGUGAACCGCAUGGUUCAAAAGUGAAAGACGGUCUUCCUUUCACUAAUAGAUGGAUCCGCGCUGCAUUAGCUAGUUGGUAAGGUAACGGCUUACCAAGGCAACGAUGCAUAGCCGACCUGAGAGGGUGAUCGGCCACACUGGAACUGAGACACGGUCCAGAAUCCUACGGGAGGCAGCAGUAGGGAAUCUUCCGCAAUGGGCGAACGCCUGACGGAGCAACGCCGCGUGAGUGAUGAAGGUCUUCGGAUCGUAAAACUCUGUUAUUAGGGAAGAACAUAUGUGUAAGUAACUGUGCACAUCUUGACGGUACCUAAUCAGAAAGCCACGGCUAACUACGUG